AAUCAGCACCCACAGCCAAUAGUGCUGAGAUACAGUGGGACAUGUCCCGCCCACCAAUCCUGAGGUGACUUCCCUUUCCUAGUAGAUAGAAUUGAGCCGCUGUGGCUGCGUUGGGAGAGGGACCUGUCAAUCCCGCCCGUCCGCGGUCGCGAUUGGUCAGGCUGCCCCGGGGCGGGGCUUUUCUCGGGAUGCUCGGCGGGCGAGUGGUUUGAGGCUCCUUCCGCUUCCGGGUAGCGGCCGCACGUGGGAGGUGCUGCUCCUCCUCUCGUCCGGGCCCUGCGCCAUCCUCGGGAUGGACGGGCUGCGCUUCCCCUCCUGCGCCCCACCGUCGGCUCCGCGGGGAGGGCCGAGCGGCACGGCGGGGAGGGCUUGUCGGGUGGACGCUGCUGUGCUCAGUCUCUUCCUUCGGGCCUGGGGGCCAUCGAAGACCCCCGGGCCGGGCCGGCGCUUGGGUGUGCCGACGGGUGUUGGUUUUACCCCGCUGGCCCUUUGGCGGUGCAGGUGGUGGUGCAGUUCCCUCGGGCUGGGGCUGUCUAGGGAUCGAGGGAAAUCCGUGGAGAAAGGGCUGAUGGAGCCGAGCUCCGCUGGGUUGCUGCCGGGUGUGCGGGGUGAAGCCGCGCUGCUAAAGCGCCAGGGGCAGCGGGGAGGCCGCUCUCGGACGAGCAGCGCGGUUCAGGCGGCACCUGCUGUCCCCGUAGGCGGCGGAUGCUGUAUGUGAGCAGCUGGCAAAGUGCUGCAUGGGUCUGUCUCCUUCCUGGCUUUGGCCGUGGCCGGGAACCGAUUUGACUGCGUCCAGUUGUCCGGGGUUGGUUGAUUUUUUUGAUGGGAUAAAGCAGGCGGUUUGUACCUGAGGAAGUAGCGGUGCUUUGCAAUUGGUGCUGAGAGGGGAGACCCGAGUAGUUUAGCACAGCUUGACCUGCCAGCCGAGCAGCUGGCAGGGGUGGCAGCGGGAUGGAAAAUGGGAGCUAGUUUGGACUGGCUGCCUGCGCAAAAGGAUGGUUCAGUCGGUGCUGGAGCAAGGGCAGAACUGCCUGAUGUUAGCCGGAGAAGUGCUGGAUUUGGAACGUGUCCUGCAGACGGCCGCCUGUGCAGCCAGCCUUGCUCGGUGGUCUGGGCAGAUGCAGUAUUCUUUCCAAGAACUUGGCUCAGAGCGUGGUGGUCUCCUAAAGAAGCAGGGCCUGUCCUAUAAUGAUUUAAAUCAUCUGUUCAGAAGACAUAUUAAUGGGAUUCCCAUAAGGCUCCUGCCAUUUUGCUGAUGUUCCUGUUAGAAGACCUAUCACCUCAUUUUGAAAACAUUAAUAAAAGCAUGAGUGUUCUAACUGCAGGGCUUAAAUACUCACAGUCAGUCAUAAACUGGGUUAACUUCAGGCAUUCUGCUGCAGAACAGAAUUGUGAUUUAUAAAUUUGUGGGUUCUCACAUGGAUGUCCACCUCCUUGUACACCAAGAAUGAUACUGUUAGCAGAAAGGUUUUUAUUUGUUUUUAAAAAAGGGGAGGGAUAAAUUAGCUAGUGAGAAAGAAAAGUCUCAUUUCAGCUUAUCAGAACAGGACACAUCUUCAUGUUCAAGUCUGAUAUUUCAGUGUCAUUCUGAGUUGUGAUAGUGACUGAAAAUGGAGUCCCUUGUUGUGCCCUAACAAUUGAGCUCUAUUUAGGUGGGUUUUUUUUUUUGUUUAUUGAAGUUUUUAAGUGGGAUAGCUUGAGCUCCAGCUCUUUUGCAUGCCAGGUAAAUAAUCUCAGUGUACCAUCACUGUAACAUCUGGCAGCACCAACAUAUCCUCAGUUUUGAGAACAUUAUGAAUGCUUAAAAUGUACUUACAGUUCUGGGCUGCCUAAAUCGUGAACACUGAAAAUACAUCUGUGAAAAAUUCCUGGUUGUUUUGGAAAUGUGGUAGUUUUAAAAGGUUGUGCAACAAACAGCAGAAAUAUAGAAGUGCUGUGAGGGUUUUGCAGGGAAAUUCACAUUUUGGAAUCUGAAUUGUACCUUCCUAUUUUGAAUCUAACCUGGAGAUAUAUGAGCAAGUUUGUUUCUGAACUGGAUAGGUAAAUAAUAUACAUGGACUUAUGGCAUAUUCCUAAGAGGGUGUUUGCAUUAGCCUUAUAAUGCAACAGUCCAUUUUAUAAAUGAGAGAAGUGAAGAAUAUUUAAAAAAUUACCUGUAUCAAUUUAACUGAUGGGGAUAAACAUGACCUAAGGCAGCUUUUUUAUUUAAGCCAUGUAGAGAUAGCUUUGGUAGAGAGGGGUCAUGGUAAUCAUUCAAGGAGAAGUGUCUAAACCCUACAUUUAACACACAGAAACAGAGGGUCAUGUUGAGGCUUGAGUGUGGGCCUUUAAAUGAGGCACUCUUUAGACUUCAUUUACUUCUUAAUGAUGCUGAUAUCACUGCGUGCCUCUUUUCAGUGAGUUUUGUGAGUUGUGACACUGUCCUGAAGCAAGGACAAGUACCAUGACCUCUGUAAGAGGAGCAGAUUUAUUCCUUGGGAUAAGCAAACUGCUUGCAACUGUUCUGGCAUAUGAAAAUCUGUUAGAUCCUUGUUUCUGAUUUGCAGAUAGUAGUGACUCUUGAGUCUUACAGUAUUAGAGGAAGCAUAGUUUUAUAUGCAUCUAUUUCCAUGCAGAACUGAGAAAUACUGCCUCUAAUGAGAACACCUCUUUCCUCUUUUAAUCCAGGAGUUAGGAGUGCUAAAGUCUUUAACAGGCCUUAGAAAAAGACUGGGCAAGCUCAAGAGAACAAUUGAUCUGCUAAAUAUAAAGAUGAUAGUAUCAAGUCCUGAGCCAUAGAAGGCUAGGGAGUGGGAUUGUGGAUUGUGACUAUAUGGAUGUUCUGUUCUUUGCUUCCUGUGCGCUCGCUUCUGUCCAGUGUCACAGAAACAGGGUCCGGGUCUCUGGUGUGGUAAUGGUACAGCUGUAAUUUACUUGAAGUGCUGAAAGUGCCUUAGCCUUUAGUAAGGCUGGGAGAACCCCAGGGCACUCACUGCCUGUGAGAAAGAUUCUUGUGCCCCAGUUAAGGUCUGCCGGCAUGCUCUGUCACAGCAGCGGUGACAGGUGCUCUCAUUGGCUCAGUUCAUUUUAAAAACGUGCAGGCACAGUGAGGCACGAGAGCAUCUGCGAUUAUCGUGUAUGUCGUGACCACGAGGGGGCCCGGCAGCUUCGGUCUGGGUGAGCCCGGAGUUACACACUGGUACAAGGGCAGGGCUGAUUCCUUGGAGCUUCAGUGGUUACAUCCCUUCUUGUUCAGCGCUUCUGAAUUACCUCUUCUGUUUAUUUUUUUUUUAAAUUACAGAAUUUUCCUAUGUAACUUUCAGAAAUGCAUCUCCUUACAAAAACUUGCCUCAGCACAAAAACUCAGCUUUAAUAAAUAGCACUGGCUAUUUGAUUUUCUCUGUGGCAGAAGACAGAUAGUACCAAGCAUAUCAUCACAUGUGAGUUUCAUCUGUGUCAGCUAUUUCCCCAAGUAAAAAUUCAAGAGUUUUGCACACAUUACUGUAUUUGUAAAGUAGAAGGAAUUGGUAUGAAGAAUCUUAAUGAUAAGGUUUUUUGUAUAUCUUAAAGAGUUUUUAAGCUUGGUACUAAAAUAUUUCAAUAAAGAUUUCUUUCUCUGCC